GACGAACGCUGGCGGCGUGCUUAACACAUGCAAGUCGAACGGAAAGGCCCUGCUUUUGUGGGGUGCUCGAGUGGCGAACGGGUGAGUAACACGUGAGUAACCUGCCCUUGACUUUGGGAUAACUUCAGGAAACUGGGGCUAAUACCGGAUAGGAACUCCUGCUGCAUGGUGGGGGUUGGAAAGUUUCGGCGGUUGGGGAUGGACUCGCGGCUUAUCAGCUUGUUGGUGGGGUAGUGGCUUACCAAGGCUUUGACGGGUAGCCGGCCUGAGAGGGUGACCGGCCACAUUGGGACUGAGAUACGGCCCAGACUCCUACGGGAGGCAGCAGUGGGGAAUACUGCACAAUGGGCGGAAGCCUGAUGCAGCAACGCCGCGUGCGGGAUGACGGCCUUCGGGUUGUAAACCGCUUUCGCCUGUGACGAAGCGUGAGUGACGGUAAUGGGUAAAGAAGCACCGGCUAACUACGUG
rnacentral:rRNA from 1 species